AUCACACACAGUUAUCAUAGGUGGCAAUGUGCCCAGUUAAAUAGUCCUAUUUCUCAGUUUUCUUGUGGACAUGUGUGGACAAUGAAAUAGUAACAGAAGUGGAAGGAUGGAGAUGAUCAGAAAGCCCUUUUGGCCUUAAUUGUUUUCUUCUUCCUGUUACCUAGAAUGUUGGUGUCUUGGCUUAACGGUUAGCAGCCAUAUUAUGAGCAGGAGAGAAAGGCCAAGACUACUAUGCAAGCCACAGAUGUAACAUAUUAAAGUAACUGCUGAACCAAAGCCAGAAUCCACCUACUUUUGGAUUUCUGAUCAAAGAGAGUGAACUCUUAUUAAAAGAUUACUCUCUUCAUAUAGUCACUUUACUCUUAAUCGAGUGUUUAUAACUGUUUAUAACUGCCUAAUCCGGUUACUGACUUGUACACGAGAGGAUAACUGAUCAUACAGGUACAACAGAAAGGACCCUGGUACAAAAAGAAGAAGUUGUCCCAAAGACCCACAUCAAUGCUGGGAAGAUCCUGAAUGUACCAAGGUCCAUGCAACUUGAAGAGCCUGGUUAACACACUGCAGGGAGCAAUCACUGUCAGUGUCAUCAACAUGAAGUGUGACUGGCAGUGAUGUAGGAAUUCUGAGACGGACACAUGGGAGACAGCCACAGUAGAAGCUGCGAAGAAGGGGCAGAGUGUUACAGGUGAGGUGAAGCUAAAAGUGACAGGUUUUUGGCAAAAGAGAGUUGGAUGGAAUUAAAAAAAAGAGAGAGAAAGAAGAGGCCCUAGGAUUUACAAUUUAAGAAGAGGCGGCAAUGCACAGAGAAUAGCUUUAGAGGAAGAAUGAAUAGCUCUGCCUUAAUACAAAGCAAUACAUGCAUAAAUGUCAUUUUCCUCAGGCCUUUAUGAAUAGAAGCUUAAAAAAGGAUAACAAG
rnacentral:lncRNA from 12 species